rnacentral:lncRNA from 1 species
AAUUAACACCAUCACAAAACAGUCUGGGGCUCUGUCAACACUGGCAGUACGCAUGUUGAAAUGAGUAUCUGUACUUCGACUGGUCCAUAAAUAUUUUUUGAGCUUGUACUUUGCGCAAGGUACUGAGCUGAGUGCUUAGAGGAUUGAUUCUGAGUCCUGUCAAAGAACGUGUGUCCAGCCACAGCGAUGAGCCUCAGACACUGGGAAAUGACACUGACAGGGCUCAAUAGAACAGAACACAUAGGUUGCAGGAUGGAGGUGGGAAAGGUGCCGAGUGAGGAAGGAAGGCCUUUUAGUGUGCCUCCUCUGUUCCCCUGCCCGGCAGCCACCUGCACCCUUGUUCCUGGCUGCGGGAUGCUGUCCACGAGGCAGAUUCCUUUCACAGGAGACAAAAUCCUCUUGGCCUAAUUUAUCAGAUGAACCUGCAGAAACAGGAUAAAUAUUUAUCUUAUGAAUUAGUGAAUCUCUAAGCCUUCAUUUGUACACCCAGCUGGGAGGAUGCCCUCAUGCCUCAGCCCACGCCAUCCUGGAACUGGCUCCAUCAGCUAGGGAGAGCUAAUGGUUAAAUAUGCAUGACUUUUAGGCUGAGGCAGGCAGAUCACUAGAAUUCAGGAGUUGAAGAUCAGCCUGACCAGCAUGGUAAAACCCUGUCUCUACGAAAAAACACAAAAAUUAGCUAGGUGUAGUGGUGCACGCCUGUAAUCCUAGCUACUCGGGAGGCUGAGGCAGGAGAAUCACUUGAACCUGGGAGGCAGAGGUUGCAGUGAGCCAAGAUCACGCCACUGCACUCCAGCCUGAGCAAAAGUGAGGCUCUGUCUCAAAAAAAAAAAAAAAAAAAAAAGCAUGAUUUUUGUGAGCCAGUGUUAAGCAGUUGGUGUCUUGACACUGGCCAGGAAGAGAGUAUCACGCCAUGGAAACUCACAAACAUUGCCCAUUGGGGUCACCUUGUUUUGUUUUAUUUUUUGUGCACCCGUUUACCAGCACAACAGUGCUUUAACCACUUAGAUUCUGAAAGUCUGUUUCCACCUGUCAAUCUAGAUAAGGAUACCAGUUUCACAGCUCGGUGGGGAGGGUCCCAUGGAUAUACAGCCGUGGACAUGUGGGAAGGUCUCACUAAAUGGGAAGCCUGUUAGUCUGUGUAUAGAGGGAACUGCCGUUUCCCACAGUCUAAAGAGGAUUGACUCGUACCACAAGGAUUUUCAAAAGCCUCAUUCUCCCCUGAAGGGAAAAUACUGCUAUCCUGGUGGGCCCAUGCCAUUUUCUAAGACUUGCCAAGCUUGAGAAGUCUUGCCCUGUUCAAAGAAACCACAUGGAUAAUUCCCGUGACCGGCGCUGGCGGGCCUGGCUGUUCCCACCAGCAGAACCAAAGGGUCCAAUGAGUCACUGCUGCUUUGAAGGCUCAGGAAGCUCAGCCACUGCUGAUAGCCUGACCUAUCCACAGGGAAAACCUAUAAUGUGUCCUUUGACAAAAAUGUGGGCUGCUCUCUGCUCAGCUGACAUCCUCCUCAGAUGCUAUGUGUAUGUGCCACUCCCUCCCAUUGGCGUCAAUGCAGCUGUCCCUGGCACAUGAACCACAACAGUUCUUUCUGGUGCUGCUAUUGACAAAAAAAGUGAGCAAUUUUAAGAUUCUUACAGAGGGCCAAGUGCAGUGGCACAUGCCUAUAGUCCCAGCUACUUGGGAGGCUGAGGUGGGAGGAUGGCUGGAACCCAGGAGCCCUGGGCUAUAGUGCACUAUGCUGAUUGGGUGUCCACACUAAAUGUGGCAUCAAUAUGGUGACAUACUAGAAGCAAAGACCACCAGGUCACCUACGGAGGAGUGAACCAGCCCAGGUCAGAUGCAGGGCAGGUCAAAACUCCUGUGCUGAUCAGUAGUGAGAUUGUGCCUGUGAAUAGCCACUGCACUCCAACCUGGGCAACAUAGCAAGACCCCAUCACUAAAAAAAGAAAGAUUCUUAGAAGGGACUGUUCUGAUAUAUCAGGAAAUCUUCUAUUCUGUUUUUCACAUUAAAAUUUCAUGUAUUUUUUUUCUGAUUACUAAAGCCACACAGCUCUCCAUAGAAAAUUGGGAAAUUGGGCCAGGCACGGUGGCUCACACCUGUAAUCCUAACAAUUUAGGAGGCCUCAGCAGGCAGAUCACUUGAGGUCAGGAGUUCAAGACCAGCCUUGCCAACAUGGUGAAACCCCAUCUAUACUAAAAAUACAAAAUUAUCCAAGCGUGAUGGUGCGUGCCUGUAAUCCCAGCUACUCGAGAGGCUGAGACAGGAGAAUCACUUGAACCAGGGAGGCAGAGGUAGUAGUGAGCUGAGAUUGCACCAUUUCACUCUAGGCUGGGCAAAAAGAUGGAAACUCCAUUUCAAAAAAAAAACGAAGAAGAAGAAGAAAGAAAGAAAGAAAGAAAAGAAAAUUGGGAAAUUGGCCUUCAUUUUAGAAUAGAUGAUAUUUGUACUGGGAGUUUGCCCAAAUGGAGCUAUUUCAGUGGUGGAAUAAGUAGGAAAGAUAAGAGGCUGGUGCCAGUUAGCUGCUACCAUCCAGGGGGGCAAGAAUGAGCUGGUAAAUUUGGGGUACUUUUUUUGAGGAUGGGGUUACAUACUGAUUUUUUUCUACAGCCUUUGCUGACAAAAAUCAUGUCAGGCCAUUUAAACCUCCUUUCUUCAUCAGGGAAUUCUUCAGCUGGGCUCAGCCUUCCUCAAACAGGCGCCCAGCCUCCAGGAAGCAAUGAAAGCCUGAUAAUCCUGUGUACUCAGGAAUACAUUUUCCUUCAGAGUCAUCAGAAACCUAGAUUCAUUAAACUAAUCAGAGGCUGGAGGCUGUGAUAUGAUACCUUCAAAUGUGCAGGUUGGUCGGCUAAGGGCGCCAGGCUGCGAAUAUUUGCAUCCUCAACGUCAAGAUCAUCAUCUUGGAAAACCAGGUUGCAUCUUUUGAGGGAAAGAGCUGUAGCAGCAGGGAAAAAGCAAAGAUCCCAGGACAAAAUGCUGCCUACUGGGUUUAUCCAGAACAUCCCAUGAGUUUGAAUUUUAUUCUUUCCUAGCUAACCCCUGUGGGGCGGAACUGAAGAAUGUUGAAAGAAUGAAGGAGUAAAUAGAUGAAUAGUGAAAUGGCUGUUAGUCCAUUCUCACAUUGCUGUAAAGAAAUACCAAAGUCCGGGUAAUUUAUAAGAAAAGAGGUUGAAUUGGCUCACAUUCUGCAGGCUGUACAGGAAGCAUGGAGGCAUCUGCUUCUGGGGAGGCCUCAGAGAGCUUUGACUCAUGGUGGGAGGCAAAGUGGGAGCAGGUGUCUUACAUGGCAGGAGCCAGGACCUAGAGAGAGAGGGGGGAGGUGCUACACACUUGCAAAUGACCAGAUCUUGUGAGAACUCACUCACUAUGAUGAGCACAGUACCAAGAGGAUAGCACUAAACCAUUCAUGAGAAACCUGCCCACAAGAUCCAAUCACCUCCCCCCAGGCCCCACCUCCAACACCGGACAUUAUAACCGAACAGGAGAUUUGGGUGGGGACGCA